rnacentral:tRNA from 1 species
UUAAGAAAUAGUGUAGAUGGAUGCCAAGGAGUUUUGAUCUCCUAAGAAUAGGUUCAAACCCUUUUUUCUUAAG